AUACAGCAUCUCCAAAAUGUCUGCGGUGAAUUGACCAAGGCAACGUGUUUAAAUGAAAUAAUACAAAACAAACAGCAAACAAAAAAGAAUGCAGAAGGCUUCACUUGCAGCUAGAGGCCUUGGUAAUUCUGGAGCUGUCACUGCCUUUGUAUGGAGCAUUUACUAUGUCAUAAUCCUGUGACAGGUGCUGAGAGGUGAUAGGAGGCUGUAAAAGAAAAGCUGAGCUGGAUAUAGCUUUGUGCAUCUUGCAGAGGACCUAAGGGGUGAAGGCUGAAACAGGCUUCUAAGCUAGUUAGAACCCAGUGAAAAUAAACGUAAAUGUUUGCCUCGUGCAUUACAACAUGGUUUCACGGGUAUGUUCCCAUAUAAUCUUCACUACUGCCCUAUGUGACUGCUAGGGGGGGAAUGACAGAAAUGCAAGAUGUAACAGUGUAUGAAAGUUUUGACCCACUUGGAGUUUAUAUUAUGUGCCAGGCCUUGUGCUAAACCCUGCAAUGCAACAUUUCAUUUCACACUUUGAUUGAGGCACUAUUAUAAUUCUCUAUUUUACAGGUGAAGACACUGAGGCUGGAAAAGUGAAGUCUUGAUCAGGACGUUGCUAUGUAAUCUUGCUGGAAUCCGGCACACACUUGAGACAGUAGGAAAACAAUCUGAGGAAACUGAGCAAAAUGACUUAUAGUCCAGGAGGAAUAUUUUUCCUACCAUGUUCAUGUAAUUGGACAGGAAAUUCAACUAAUAAUCCAUCCUUGUUAUGCCAGUUUUAAAAAGGUAAGUGCUUCAUCCCUCUUUACUGUUUGCCUUCUUAAGAAAUCAUAGUGGUUCCCAGAAUCCAGUGUGCACCCGAUCAUCUAGAGAAUUGCUAAAAUGUAGAUUCUCGGGCUUCACUCCCCAUCCCCACCCUGAGAUUCUGACUCAGUAGGUCUGAAAAGGCCCAAGAAUAUGCAUUUUUAGCAAUACCUGCAGGAGAUCACCUGCAUGCCACACAGUUUAGUCACAAAACUAGGUAACAGUUCUCUCCACUGUUCUGUUUUGGGGCUGAAGCUGCCCCACCUAUUCAUCCUCU
rnacentral:lncRNA from 1 species